AUUGAACGCUGGCGGCAUGCUUUACACAUGCAAGUCGAACGGUAACAGGCCUUCGGGUGCUGACGAGUGGCGAACGGGUGCGUAAUGCAUCGGAACGUACCCAGAGGUGGGGGAUAACGCAGCGAAAGCUGUGCUAAUACCGCAUGUGAUCUGAGGAUGAAAGCGGGGGACCGAGCAGCAAUGUUUGGCCUCGCGCCUUUGGAGCGGCCGAUGUCGUAUUAGCUAGUUGGUGGGGUAAAGGCCUACCAAGGCGACGAUCCGUAGCUGGUCUGAGAGGACGACCAGCAACAAUGGGACUGAGAAACGGCACAGACUCCUAAGGGAGGCAGCAGUGGGGAAUUUUAGAGAACGGGCGCAAGCCUGAUCAAGCAAGGAAGCGUGAGGGAAGAAGGCCUUCGGGUUGUAAACCGCUUUUGGCAGGAACGAAACGGUGUCCGCUAAUACCGGGCGCUAAUGACGGUACCUGCAGAAUAAGCACCGGCUAACUACGUG
rnacentral:rRNA from 1 species